rnacentral:lncRNA from 1 species
GUGAUUGUAUUGUUUGCUUUUUUUUUCCGGCCAUCAUGCCAGCUGCCAUCUCAGAUACCUUUGGGUCUCUGGCAGGAUUGUUUGGAAAGGAGUAACGUUGGCCAUGAGUCUGAUGAGAGACUGGUGUGAUGGUGUGAGUUGCCCUUUGGAUUACAAAAGAGAAAUGAAAUCACUGGCACAUGCUGUUGCUGGCAGUAGUUGCUAGUGCUUUGAUGGAUGUCAAUACAUUGGACCAUGCUUCCAUUUUACAUAGAAAAUUGCAUCUUCUCCCAGAGCUCAUUGUGAUCUGUGUUUAAGUGCCAGAGGAUGAAUGGACUCUGCCAAAUUGAGAGGACUGUAGAGAGGAUCCUGGGAGCUACAUCCUACAAGCUGUGUCAUAUAGCUGGAGUCUCAAAUUCAUUCUGUGUGCUUUGCCUGCUGGAGAGUCUGGAGCCAUGGAACAGCAGAUCACCUGAGAAUAAACCCAAGCACCAAUAAAAUUUUGUGUUUACCCUGGAUGUCUUGAAAUACCAUGGCUCCCAGGAAUUACUUUGUUGUUUUAUUUAAAGGGUAUGUAC